UUCCUCAUGUUCAUUCCCCAAAAUUCAGCAAAUGAAUUCAAAAUCAACAUCGCCCCGAUUCAUCAUCAUCCAUCAAUCAUCAUCAACAGAACAUCACUGCCCGGCUCAUCAUCAUCCAUCAAUCAUCAGCAUCACAACAUCGCGACGGUGGCCGCACUUCUCUGCAAGUUUCAAUUUCUACCUUAUGUGUUAAAUUUAGAUUUAUUCUGAGAUGUGGGCUCAAGGAAUCACGUGGCUUUCUGUGGAAUCAUGUGAUUUCUAUGGAAUAGUGUGGCUUUCUUUGUUUAUUUAAUUUUCCCAUCUUCUUCAUCC
rnacentral:lncRNA from 1 species